GAAAUGCGAUAAGUAGUGUGAAUUGCAGAAUUCAGUGAAUCAUCGAAUCUUUGAACGCACAUUGCGCCCCUUGGUAUUCCAUGGGGCAUGCCUGUUCGAGCGUCAUUUGUACCCUCAAGCUCUGCUUGGUGUUGGGUGUUUGUCCCCGUCUCCGCGCGUGGACUCGCCCCAAAGUGAUUGGCAGCCGGCGUACAGGUCCCGGAGCGCAGCACAUGUCGCGCAAACGAGUGCCUUGGUACGGCGGCGUCCAUAAGCCCCUCUCUCACGCUCUUGACCUCGGAUCAGGUAGGGAUACCCGCUGAACUUAAGC
rnacentral:misc_RNA from 1 species